GUAUUUCCGCCGGCGCGAAACGAGCGUAGCUUCCUUGUCGUGUGGCCUCAGUCCUUCGCCGUCCCUCGCCGUCCUUCGCCAUCGCACGCCACCGCACCCCAUCUCUCGAAAUCUGCAGACAUCUUGAUUUUUCCCACGCUGUCUGUCAGGUCUCCGCCGCCACUCGACGCCAGGGCGCCGGGCCUUGUGGGCUGUGCUGCACCUCGGACGGCUUCGCACCAGCCAGCGCCCUCUCUCUCCUGCAGCACUCUGAUCUGCACCCCCUGAGGGGCUUCCACUGUCCGCGGGGUGAGAAUGCCCCUGGGAGUGUCACAUGACUGCCGCCCCAUGUGUGUGAGAGGCGUCCUCUGGGAGAGCAUGGAUCCUGAGGUCCCAGGAUUGUCAGCUGACCUCUGUCCUGUGUGCCCAGUGGCCCCAGGUGACGUGUCUUCAAGAAGAGGCUGAGCUGCGGUGCUUGUAAGGCAGGGUCUCAUUCUGUCACCCAGGCUGGAGUGCAGUGGUGCAAUGAUGGCUCACUGCAGCCUCGACCUGGGCUCAAGUGAUCCUCCACCUCAGCUUCCUGAGUAGCUGGGACCACAGAGUCAUGUGCUGUUCCUGGGGCUUGGAUGAUGUAGGGGAAGCAAGGUGAAAGUGGUAUCCCGUGGUUCCACGUUCUGUCCUGCUGUGGGGCUGUCCCUCACAUGCUUUCAGUGGCUGUUGCAGAGGAAGAGCCUCCGGAAAUCUGCGUGGGUCUCAGCCUUAGAUCCAAGGACAGUCCAAGGAAGUCCUAAGACCAUGGAGUUGGUGAUCUGGGAUCUGGGUUUGCUGAUAUUUCUCACCGUGAAUCUCUUGGUGGUGUUUGUGGGCACGAGAGGGGCAGAGAAUGGAGAGUGAGGCUACCACAUGAAGCGUCACCAGAGCUGCUCCCUGCUGCCUGCUCAGAGCACCCCGGAUCCACUGUUCAAUCUGCACAAGAUUCGGGGUCCAGACAUGGGAGACUUCAGCUGCCUCAGAGGACCGUGGACAGGGAAGGCCAGCCUCGCAUCCCUCUGUCCAUGCCUGGAAUGACUUUAAUAACCAAGAGUUUUAUUUUUGAAUUUGUAGCUGUCGUUCACUUUUUACCCACCCAUUCAAUAAACCUUACAGAAUUGCUCCA
rnacentral:lncRNA from 1 species